rnacentral:rRNA from 1 species
UGCAUGUCUAAGUAUAAGCAAUUAUACGGCGAAACUGCGAAUGGCUCAUUAUAUAAGUUAUCGUUUAUUUGAUAGUACCUUACUACUUGGAUAACCGUGGUAAUUCUAGAGCUAAUACAUGCUUAAAAUCCCGACUUCGGAAGGGAUGUAUUUAUUAGAUUAAAAACCAAUGCCCUUCGGGGCUCUCUGGUGAUUCAUGAUAACUUCUCGAAUCGCAUGGCCUUGCGCCGGCGAUGGUUCAUUCAAAUUUCUUCCCUAUCAACUUUCGAUGUUUGGGUAUUGGCCAAACAUGGUUGCAACGGGUAACGGAGGGUUAGGGCUCGACCCCGGAGAAGGAGCCUGAGAAACGGCUACUACAUCCAAGGAAGGCAGCAGGCGCGCAAAUUACCCAAUCCCGACUCGGGGAGGUAGUGACAAUAAAUACUGAUACAGGGUUCUUUUGGAUCUUGUAAUUGGAAUGAGUACAAUUUAAAUCCCUUAACGAGGAACAAUUGGAGGGCAAGUCUGGUGCCAGCAGCCGCGGUAAUUCCAGCUCCAAUAGCGUAUAUUAAAGUUGUUGUGGUUAAAAAGCUCGUAGUUGAACCUUGGGCCUGGCUGGCCGGUCCGCCUCACCGCGUGUACUGGUCCGGCCGGGCCUUUCCCUCUGUGGAACCCUAUGCCCUUCACUGGGUGUAGCGGGGAAACAGGACUUUUACUUUGAAAAAAUUAGAGUGCUCCAGGCAGGCCUUUGCUCGAAUACAUUAGCAUGGAAUAAUAAAAUAGGACGUGUGGUUCUAUUUUGUUGGUUUCUAGGACCGCCGUAAUGAUUAAUAGGGACAGUCGGGGGCAUCAGUAUUCAAUUGUCAGAGGUGAAAUUCUUGGAUUUAUUGAAGACUAACUACUGCGAAAGCAUUUGCCAAGGAUGUUUUCAUUAAUCAGGAACGAAAGUUAGGGGAUCGAAGACGAUCAGAUACCGUCGUAGUCUUAACCAUAAACUAUGCCGACUAGGGAUCGGACGAUGUUAAAAAUUGACUCGUUCGGCACCUUACGAGAAAUCAAAGUGCUUGGGCUCCAGGGGGAGUAUGGUCGCAAGGCUGAAACUUAAAGAAAU